rnacentral:tRNA from 1 species
GGUGGGGUGGCCGAGUGGUCGAAGGCGCCGGUCUUGAAAACCGGUAGACCCGUCAGGGUCUCGCGGGUUCGAAUCCCGCCCCCACCGC